AGAGUUUGAUCAUGGCUCAGGACGAACGCUGGCGGCGUGCUUAACACAUGCAAGUCGAACGGUGAACCUCUUUCGGGAGGGGAUCAGUGGCGAACGGGUGAGUAACACGUGGGCAACCUGCCCCCGGCUCUGGGAUAACUCCAAGAAAUUGGGGCUAAUACCGGAUGUUCACCGCUUCUCGCAUGAGGGGUGGUGGAAAGGGUUUCCGGCUGGGGAUGGGCCCGCGGCCUAUCAGCUUGUUGGUGGGGUAGUGGCCUACCAAGGCGACGACGGGUAGCCGGCCUGAGAGGGUGACCGGCCACACUGGGACUGAGACACGGCCCAGACUCCUACGGGAGGCAGCAGUGGGGAAUAUUGCGCAAUGGGCGGAAGCCUGACGCAGCGACGCCGCGUGGGGGAUGACGGCCUUCGGGUUGUAAACCUCUUUCAGCAGGGACGAAGCGCAAGUGACGGUACCUGCAGAAGAAGCACCGGCCAACUACGUGCCAGCAGCCGCGGUAAUACGUAGGGUGCAAGCGUUGUCCGGAAUUAUUGGGCGUAAAGAGCUCGUAGGCGGUUCGUCGCGUCGGCUGUGAAAACCCGGAGCUCAACUCCGGGCCUGCAGUCGAUACGGGCGGACUCGAGUUCGGCAGGGGAGACUGGAAUUCCUGGUGUAGCGGUGAAAUGCGCAGAUAUCAGGAGGAACACCGGUGGCGAAGGCGGGUCUCUGGGCCGAUACUGACGCUGAGGAGCGAAAGCGUGGGGAGCGAACAGGAUUAGAUACCCUAGUAGUCC
rnacentral:rRNA from 1 species